AAAACUCUCCCACACACAAGAAAUUCAAACUGUGUGGUCAUAGCGAAAAACUGGUACAGGUCCAGCUCUUCUCAGAUCAUCCCCUGCCCUAUUGUCAGCUUUGCCUCUGUUCUUUUCUCCAUCUGAGAAGUACUGGGAUUUAUCUCUCUUCUAAAAGGAGAAGAGAGACAAUGGAUAAAAGGGGUAUAAAACUUGCAUUACUUAUGCACAGUCCUCCAGGGGAGCUCGAAGCCCAGGUGCACAUUCAGGAAUUAAGAGGAGACCCAACAAAAAGUCAGGUUAUCCUCGGCUUAACUUUAAGCCCAUAAAACGUAAUGCUAUAUAGUCUGAGGUGCAUAUUAUGAAACACUCAGGCUAUAAAGUAUCUUUCUAAGGUCCUAGUUGAAACAUGACUUAUUUAGAGAUACUCUUCUCUCUCUUACGAUGCAUGCCAAUAAUUCUAAGAACUUUAGAAACAUCUUUUAUAAGACACCAUCAUAUCCAAUGGUUCUGUCUUGAGGGGUGCUUUGAAAUUUCCAGGACCACACUGAAAGAGGUCAUACACUGAUAUCAGGCAUCUUCACUGAGAGUCAAAGUGAUUUGGAAACUGGAUAUUGUGUAGUAUUACUCAUUGUAAGGGACUUGUGUCUGAGAGAGGGCCACUGUGCCCGAGAAUAUCUAAGCUCAUGCUUUUCUAUGUACACAGAUGCCUAUUUGGUUGUGCCAGUCUUCUGAAUGCCUUGAGCUCCCCGUUUACCGCUCAGGCGCUGCCAUCUUUUCAGGGUGCAGGGAAACCCUGAGCUCUGUCCAGUCUCCAGUGGUGCUGAUUAUGAACCUGAUGGCCAACCUUUCUCACACCUCUUUGGUUUGCCAAUGCUGCUUAUCUCCUGGGCUAUGAGGUCACAUGUGGGCUUCUCCCAGACACAGCAAAAACAUGGUGGGGACUUCAUCUCUACCACAAUACACUUCAUAUCACUUUAAGAAAAACAGUAACUGUCUCUGGAGUUACCGAAUUGGGCAUGGGGAUUUUGCGGUUCUACAGAGUGUGAAAAAGAGGGAGAUUUAACUACGUGCUGGAGUAAAACCCUUUCUCAGACAAUACUUGACUGCAAUCUUGUCAUCUGACGUUGGUUAUUCCAUAGGAUGGAAAUUCCCGUCUCCGGUCUCACUUCCCGUUCUUUCUACAAACCACAGGCAUCUAAGCAUGGAUCCAGGUCAUUCCCAAACUUUUGAGCCAGUUCUUCUGUGGGCAUGAAAAUAGACGUCUCGGGUUCACAAUUUAUCUGUGCUUUGGUUCUGGAAAAUGAGGACAGCUACGAGCUGGUGGCUACAUUUGAGGUUUCAGAGUUUACUUGGAGAAAAUAUAGGCAAAUAACCCUGCAACACAUCUUUCCCACUCCCACAAGGAGAAAACUGACUGCAUUCCAGAGUGAUUUUCCCUAGGGCCAAGCACAAAAUGUGGAACACAGCAUGGGGAUUAAUUACUUCAACUUGAAUGUUGGAAUUUUAUUCCAAAUCCAAACUCAUGACAACUAAGAAAGACCAAAGAGGAGUAUGUUUACAAUAUUUAGCAAAUGUCACCUUGAUGCUAUCAUCUACGAAGGACUCAGAGAUGAUAGAGAAAGUAUACUUAAAUAAUUUGCUUCUUUACACGUUGAAUUAAAAAUCUAAUGUCUAAAACAAGACUUGAUGGGAGUAGAAGCAAUGUGAUUUAAAUUUAAAAGGUGAUCUAAUUCUGUUAAUUGCACCACACUCUCAAAUGAAAGAAGGCAGACCACAAAGCUACACUGCAUUUUAAAAAUACUGAACUCGAUCAGAUAUGUAUCUGUGAAACUGGUUUUCUCGUGAAGAAAAAUUCACACUUCCCAAAAAUGUCUAUUAUGUUAACAUGACUUAUUUAGUCUACCAUACACAAAUCAAGUUACCAGUAAACUAAGUUUAUUUAUUUAUUUAUUUAUUAUUUUAGGGCUUCGUGUGCAGCAUAGGGAAGUUCCCAGGUUAGGGGUCAAGUCGGAGCUGCAGCCAGUAGCCUAUGCCACAGACAUGGCAAUGCAGAAUCUGAGGAGCAGGUGUAGUGAUCUACACCACAGCUUACAGCAACACUGGAUCCUUAACCCGAUGAGCAAGGCCAGGGAUCGAACCUGUGUCCUCAUGGUUCAUCACCACCAAGGCACAACAGCAACGCCCAAGUUUCCAGUAAACUAAGUUUAAAAGCAGAAAAUUUUCUGUAAUUAUGCAUGGGUCUAUUAUUAAAAUCACAAUUGGAACUUUAUAGCACGUUGAACUGAUUUGAAACAAGCUAGUCGGACAGUUGCAACAUUGUUGAAGUUAUGAUAAGCAGUUGUCAUAAAAAGCUCUAUGAAAUAUCUGAGCUUCAGAAUGAACAUGUCAAGCCAUGCUGAUCAAAGGAAAAACAAAGAGAUCUGAUAUCAAUGUGUGACAAAGAAACCAAAGCUUCUAUGAGAAGUUUUAAGUGCCAAGAAAAUCUCAACGAGAAAUCUAAAUGAUAAAGAUCUUAAAAAUAUACAUGGCAUUUUAUGACAAAAUUUUAAUUCAUUAAAAACAACUGGGGAAUUCCCAUCACGCCUCAGCAGAAACCAAUCUGACUUAGUAUCCUUGAGGACACUGGUUUGAUCUCUGGCCUCAUUCAGUGGGUUAAGGAUCUGGCACUGCCAUGAGCUGUGGUAUAGGUCGUAGACAUGGCUCGGAUCCGGUGUUGUUGUGUCUGUGUGUAGGCUGGCAGCUCCAGCUCUGAUUCAACCCCUAGCCUGGGAACCUCCAUACACCAUGGGUGCCACCCUAAAAAGACCAAGAGGAAGAAAAAAUAGUAGAAGGACAUCUAUCAAAGAAAAAAUACAUAUACAUGGCGGAGCAUUAAGGAAAGAGAAAGAGAACAGAAGUAGAUUAUAAAGAAGGGACACAUGCCUUCUGAUUUGCCUUGACUGUGGAGUGUCUCUGGCUGUCCUAUCAGACAGCUGGCUUUACAGCCACUGGUUCCAAUAUCAUGUCAUGACCAGCCAUCCCAAUGCCGUGUUGUAUUUUUAAUGUAAAAACAAACCUCAAGGAAAGAACAAGUCCCGUCAGAAAUGCUCCUUCUCUUCAACCUCCCUUCCAUUUUCGACUCUUCAAUCCUUUUGCUUUUCCAAGUAUGGAGACACAUAGAUACCCUGUCCCAGAAUUUACUUUAGCCUUUUCUCCUAAUGUGAGCAGCAGGAUGAAAAGCCUCCAUGAAGAACAAAAGGAUUCCACAGCGCAGUCAACACAGACAGAGACCGAUGGAGGGAAACCAUUUAUGGAUUUUCAGCUCUCUCUAGGAGAUACAAGACUAUUACAUCCACACACACACACACACACAAGGUCAGAAUUUUACCCUUGCAACUGCUAUAAAUUUCAAAUGACCUUUUUAAAAAAUCUUGUAGCCAUAAAACAAGCACAAUCCUUCUCAGGUUGUAGACUUGGCCAGUUUUUAAAUCUACAUUUAUAAUUCUCUAUUUUUAUCACAUUACUGCAACCCAAUUCAUAUACUCGUUGCUGAUGUGGUCUGAAGUUUUUGUUGGCAUGAGCUGAGUGGUGACAGAUUUCUCCAUUUUUGAAUAACUUCCCAGCCCCUGACAAGCUCGAUUCUACACCAACUCACAGCAUAUGUGCUUACCCCACACUUUUCAGAGACAGUGCUAUUUUAAGGCACCAUUUUUGCCUUAUGGCAGCUCUUUCCUUUAUCGCCUCACCUGUGCAAUUGCUUUGCCUUUGUUCCCUGAAUUCGAAUGUAAAAGGCAAGCAACCACACAGAUGGUGUGCAGAAGAGAGUGGCAGAGAUGCUGUGUCUCUUCUGAACUACAGCAAUUUCCUAUGCGAUGCUAGGGCAGGCUGAGCUCAAGAUGUCUCCAGCCCAGGAUGCCCUGCCCUGGCCCCCAGAACUAUGGAUAUAAGAUUUCACUCCCUGUACAUGGCAAAGGAGGUUUUGGAAGAUGUAAAUAAGGGUACCAACCAUUUGACUGUGAGUCAAUUCAAGAGGAGAUUAUCUGGGUGGAUCUUAUCCGGUCACCCAAGUCCUUCACAAGAGCAUUUUCUCUGGGUUUUUAGCAGAAGGGGAAAUCAGAGAGGUUCUAAACAGGAGAGGGAGUCAAUGCAUCAUGCCUGGUUUGGAAGACAGAGGGACACCUGCAGGUGCGGGUGAGAGGUGUCUAGGGAUGGAGUACGGCCACUGCCCAACAUCUGGCCAUAAAACAAGGAUCUCCAUCCUACAACAGCAAGGAGCUGGCUUCUUCACUACGGGGAUGAGCUAGGACAUGGAGGCUUCUCCAGCGCCCACAGCUCAGAGGCUUCCCUGCAGGGCACCAUGUGACUGCGGCCUUGUGAAACUCUAGGCAGAGAACCCAGCAACAUCUUGCUGUAUUUCUACAGAAUCGUAAGCUAAGAAACAGAUACUGUGUCAAUUCCCCACAUCUGUGGUCAUUUGUUACAGAGGAGUCGUUACAGUGUCUUCCAUGACAACUUAGGAUCUGCUAGGUGUACAAUAAGUUAGAAGGAUGCUGUGCACAGCACAGAGAAUACGGUGCACAUUUAGUAACUUCCUAUGGAGCAUAAUCUACAAAAAUACUGAAUUCGUAUGUUGUACACGUGAAACUAACCCAAACUGUAAAAUCAACUACACAAAACCAAACCAAACCCCAAAACUUAGGAUCUGCUAUUCUGAGAUGAGCAUGAGCAAUGAAUGUCCACUGGGGGGUAGGGUUGAUCCGUUCUCCUACAGCGAACAAGUCACACCGCUUCUACCAUCCACACAUUUCUCUACCCAUCCCCUUCUGGACACUCAGCUGGGAAACUUUCAUCUAAACUGUGAUGAGCCUCCUCACUCUUUUCCUCACUUCCAUUCUCUGCUCUGAGCUCCUAAUAAUCUGUUAGACUCAUCGUCCCCAAACACAGCUGUGACCAGACUAUGCUAACUUUUUUAAAAAAGGAAUCAUCGUUGCCUCUUUGUAAAGUAUAAAUGCCUCCUGCUGGAACUCAAGUCCUCUAAGACCUGCCUCCAAGGCCUGAAAGACCACCUGGAGGAAAUGAAUCUCCACGGUGAUUUGUGAAAUCGCAGAGCAAAUAAUAGCCUGAGUUUAUCACACACGAGCUCUGUGACAUUAAAACCCACCCUCAGAAGCUCAACGGAACAAAACUUGAGCAGUCACAAACCCUGCUCAUCUGUACAGAACACGCGGAUAGCUUUCGCUUUCGGUGGAGAAACCAGAUGGAAAAAGAGCAUUACAAAACCACAAUGCAAAAAAAAAUCAAGCCCUCAUAUCAUCAGCUGCAUCUUCUGAAAACCUCAGGUCAUUAGUCAAAAAGAAAUGGGGCAGAAGGCAAGGUCCAAGACUGCACAUUAAAGAAAAACCCCAAUCUCAAAGGAAAUAGAAAUGAUUUAGGCAAGAGCAUGUAAACCACACACUGAAUGAACCCUCACCAAUAUCCAGUCACUGUGCGUCCACUAGCAAAGACUAGACUUAUAUGAAAAGGGAAUUAUGAAAAAGCCAGAAAGAAUAUUAGAAAAUGCAAACUAGAAGGAUCGAAAUAAUUCAUGGGAAUGAUGGAAGACAAAGUAAGGAAAUUCCCGGGACAUAAAACUAAAAGAUAAAUGUAUACAACUUAAGAUAGAUGUGAUUUCGUUACUCAAGCGAGACAUGGUAUCACAUGAGCAGGAUUUUUAGAAAGAGAAAGCAAAAGGAAUACAUUAUGUUUUAAAAUAUAAAAUCGGAAACACCCGUUUUAGGUCAAAGGUAAAAGGAAUGAACGAGAAGUCCCUAUGACAUUCCAGAACCCCAAGAAUGAACUCCACCCCAAACAGUGGGACGCAGAGUCAGUGUAGACUAUUUACCAAUGAGUGAGGUCAAGGUUUGUUGAGAGACUGCACCUGUGACUGUGGUUGACGACCACAAUGAGCAGCCUCUCAGGAACAAGGUGAUAGGAAGCUGGUCAAACUAUUAAUCCAGUUGGAGGCCGACGGUGGACAUAUUCAGCCUUCAUAAAAUUCAUGUUCCAGAGUUCCCAUCAUGGCUCAGCAGAAACAAAUUCAACUAGUACCCAGAAGGACACAGGUUUGAUCCCUGGCCUUGCUCAGUGGGUUUAGGAUCCGGUGCUGCCGUGAGCUGUGGUGUAGGUCGCCGACGUGGCUCAGACCCUGCAUUGCUGUGGAUGUGGCAAAAGCCAGCGGCUAUAGCUCCGAUUUCACCCCUGGCCUGGGAACUUCCAUAUGCCACAGGUGUGGCUCUAAAAAGACCAAAAAAAAAAAAAA
rnacentral:lncRNA from 1 species